rnacentral:rRNA from 1 species
CACGUAGGGGGCGAGCGUUGUCCGGAUUUAUUGGGCGUAAAGAGCUCGUAGGCGGCUUGUCACGUCGAUUGUGAAAGCCCGAGGCUUAACCUCGGGUCUGCAGUCGAUACGGGCUAGCUAGAGUGUGGUAGGGGAGAUCGGAAUUCCUGGUGUAGCGGUGAAAUGCGCAGAUAUCAGGAGGAACACCGGUGGCGAAGGCGGAUCUCUGGGCCAUUACUGACGCUGAGGAGCGAAAGCGUGGGGAGCGAACAGG